GACGAACGCUGGCGGCGUGCCUAAUACAUGCAAGUAGAACGCACAGUUUAUACCGUAGCUUGCUACACCAUAGACUGUGAGUUGCGAACGGGUGAGUAACGCGUAGGUAACCUGCCUGGUAGCGGGGGAUAACUAUUGGAAACGAUAGCUAAUACCGCAUAAUAUUAAUUAUUGCAUGAUAAUUGAUUGAAAGAUGCAACUGCAUCACUACCAGAUGGACCUGCGUUGUAUUAGCUAGUAGGUGAGGUAACGGCUCACCUAGGCGACGAUACAUAGCCGACCUGAGAGGGUGAUCGGCCACACUGGGACUGAGACACGGCCCAGACUCCUACGGGAGGCAGCAGUAGGGAAUCUUCGGCAAUGGACGAAAGUCUGACCGGGCAACGCCGCGUGAGUGAAGAAGGUUUUCGGAUCGUAAAGCUCUGUUGUAAGAGAAGAACGGGUGUGAGAGUGGAAAGUUCACACUGUGACGGUAUCUUACCAGAAAGGGACGGCUAACUACGUG
rnacentral:rRNA from 1 species